UACGUAGGGUGCAAGCGUUGCCCGGAUUUAUUGGGCGUAAAGGGCGCGUAGGCGGCUCUGCACGUUCGUUGUGAAAUCGCCCGGCUCAACUGGGCGGGGUCAGCGGAUACGGCAGAGCUUGAGCAAGCUAGGGGGCAAUGGAAUUCCCGGUGUAGUGGUGGAAUGCGUAGAUAUCGGGAGGAACGUCAAUGGCGAAGGCAGCCACCUGGCUUAAUACUGACGCUGAGGCGCGAAAGCGUGGGGAGCGAACAGG
rnacentral:rRNA from 1 species